GUGCCAGCCGCCGCGGUAAUACGUAGGUGGCAAGCGUUAUCCGGAAUUAUUGGGCGUAAAGCGCGCGUAGGCGGUUUUUUAAGUCUGAUGUGAAAGCCCACGGCUCAACCGUGGAGGGUCAUUGGAAACUGUAAAACUUGAGUGCAGAAGAGGAAAGUGGAAUUCCAUGUGUAGCGGUGAAAUGCGCAGAGAUAUGGAGGAACACCAGUGGCGAAGGCGACUUUCUGGUCUGUAACUGACGCUGAUGUGCGAAAGCGUGGGGAUCAACAGGAUUAGAUACC
rnacentral:rRNA from 1 species